rnacentral:SRP_RNA from 1 species
AGCCGGGGUGCUAGCGGUACCUUGUACCUGCAAUCCGCUAUAGCAGGGGUGAUAUUACGCAGAGGGUGACAGUUUGCAGAGCUGCCCCUGAAAAGUAACGUUGAAAGUCCGGGUCUCACGCGACGUGAAUCUGUGAACCGUGUCAGGUCGGGAACGAAGCAGCACUAAGCAGAACCUCAUGGGUGUUGUGAGGGUGCCUGGGCUGAGUUGGCUGUCAGGGUAACGUCUGGGGACUGCCAUUC